rnacentral:rRNA from 1 species
AUCAUGGCUCAGGAUGAACGCUAGCUACAGGCUUAACACAUGCAAGUCGAGGGGCAGCAUGUUGGUUGCUUGCAACCAAUGAUGGCGACCGGCGCACGGGUGAGUAACGCGUAUCCAACCUUCCCCUUAGUAGAGGAUAGCCCGGCGAAAGUCGGAUUAAUACUCUAUGUUCUUCAAUGCGGACAUCUAAGUUGAAGCAAAGAUUUAUCGCUAAGGGAUGGGGAUGCGUCUGAUUAGGUUGCAGGCGGGUAACGGCCCACCUGGCCUACGAUCAGUAGGGGUUCUGAGAGGAAGGUCCCCCACACUGGUACUGAGACACGGACCAGACUCCUACGGGAGGCAGCAGUGAGGAAUAUUGGUCAAUGGGCGCGAGCCUGAACCAGCCAAGUAGCGUGCAGGACGACUGCCCUAUGGGUUGUAAACUGCUUUUAUCAGGGAAUAAAGUGAGGCACGCGUGCCUUUUUGUAUGUACCUGAUGAAUAAGGACCGGCUAAUUCCGUGCCAGCCGCGGC